UACAGAGGUCCCAAGCGUUGUUCGGAUUCACUGGGCGUAAAGGGUGCGUAGGCGGUCGGGUAAGUCUGAUGUGAAAUCUCACAGCUUAACUGUGAAACUGCAUUGGAUACUAUCCGGCUAGAGGAAUGGAGGGGAGACUGGAAUACUUGGUGUAGCAGUGAAAUGCGUAGAGAUGCGGAGGAACACCGAUGGCGAAGGCAGCCCCCUGGGCUAACACUGACGCUCAGGCACGAAAGCGUGGGGAGCAAACAGG
rnacentral:rRNA from 1 species